rnacentral:misc_RNA from 1 species
UACCGGAAGGUGCGGCUGGAUCACCUCCUUUCUAAGGAGCACCACGAAAAGCACUCCAAUUGGUGGGGUGCGAGCCGUGAGGGGUUCCCGUCUGUAGUGGACGGGGGCCGGGUGCACAACAGCAAAUGAUUGCCAGACACACUAUUGGGCCCUGAGACAACACUCGGUCGAUCCGUGUGGAGUCCCUCCAUCUUGGUGGUGGGGUGUGGUGUUUGAGUAUUGGAUAGUGGUUGCGAGCAUCUAGAUGAGCGCAAAGUCCUUGCGGCUGAUGCGUUCGUCGAAAUGUGUAAUUUCUUCUUUGGUUUUUGUGUGUAAGUAAGUGUUUAAGGGCGCAU